UAAAAAAAUAUUAAUAGUGUCAAUUUACAAAUUAUUUAAAUUGAAACGUGACACUCAAAAUGUUGAUGAUUUCCAAUUAAUUUUAACACUUUGUAUGAAUUUUGGCUGAUUGGUAAGAUAAGAGUCGAAGAUGAAAGUUGUUAGUAGUUAGCUUUAUGAAUCAAUAUGAUAAUAAUAUCAAUCGCACGUGUGAGGGUUACUUUUUUUUCUAUUUCUGGUAAUUUCUGACAAGACCCUACUGGCAACACUGGAAACAGUUUUUUUUACAAAGUCAAACAAACACAAGUUCACACAACACAUUGGAUUUAUCGUAUUUGUGACUUGUGAUAUUUUAGAUGGAUUCUAAACUACAUAAUAAUAAUCCUAAACAGCAGUUUUUUUUAAUGUGUUUCAAACGAAGGACGAAUUGUACAGACAUUUUAAUUAAAACUGACUUUAAAUUGUCAAUAAAUUCCUUUGUCACACUGACGAGCUACGGCCAUGAGCUACGGUGACUCAAAUAAGCUACUGACACCGGAGGUAGAUUGACAACAAUAAGGCUACAAAUAAUCAUGUCCGUGGAAAAGUUGCGAGAGUUUUAAGAUCCAUAACUACUUUCUGAUGUUUGCUGAUUUUCUUAUGGAUGAAGAUACUAUGAGACGCCUUUUUGUCAUGGUGCACUUCGCAGUGAAAACAGUCAAGCAAGUAAAAUAACAAGAUUAGUCCAUUAAUUAAGAAUGAUUUACGAGUUUUUAUUACAAUUCAUGUUGUUAGUUUUUAUUCUGUAAUUUUAGUUACAUUAUUUUUUUAAAAUGUUUCUGCCGCUUUUGUUAUAUUGUAUUGUAUUAUCAUUUUUUUUUAUAACUUUGUUGAUUCUAUUAGCUAGGAAUAAUAAGUCUUUAGGAAAACAUCGGGGUCGAAAGCUAAGUGUAGACCUGGAGCAACAAAGACAAGUUUUCCAAAAAUAUAAAAGUAGGAUAGGAAAUUUUGUACCUCCCAAUAAUAAAGAAAACCGCGCUUUAUACUCCGAUCUUCAA